rnacentral:rRNA from 1 species
CCUACGGGGGGUAGCAGUGAGGAAUAUUGGUCAAUGGCCGGAAGGCUGAACCAGCCAAGCCGCGUGAGGGAGGAAGGCGCAGAGCGUCGCAGACCUCUUUUGUCGGGGGACAAAAGGCCGGACUCGUCCGCUCCUGAGGGUACCCGGAGAAAAAGCAUCGGCUAACUACGUGCCAGCAGCCGCGGUAAUACGUAGGUUGCAAGCGUUGUCCGGAUUUAAUGGGUGUACAGGGCUUGUAGCCGGGAAGGCAAGUCAGAUGUGAAAUCCGGAGGCUCAACCUCCGAAUUGCAGUUGAAACUGUUUUUCUUGAGUACUGGAGAGGCAGACGGAAUGCCUGGUGUAGCGGUGAAAUGCGUAGAUAUAAGGAGGAACACCAGUGGCGAAGGCGGUCUGCUGGACAGCAACUGACGGUGAGGCGCGAAAGCGUGGGGAGCAAACAGGAUUAGAUACCCUAGUAGUC